CGGCCCCGGGCAGGCGGCGCAGGAGGCGGAGCGGGGCCGUGGCGCUCCCCGCCCUUGCUGCCGCCGGCUUUGGAAGGUGAGCGUGCAUCAUUGCAGGCUUGGGAUUGAUUGAAAUGCGCUGAGGAAAUCAGCUCUGGGGAGGGAAAUCCUCUCAACAUUUACCAAUUCUUCUGUCAAACUCAUCACGGCAGGACAGCGUGAAGACUGAAAGUAUUCAUCAUGUCACACGAGGUGGCCUUUCUUUGUGCCUGACAUGGACCAGCAUCCCCAGAUGUCUGAGAAGUAAAAGGAUAAAAUCCAGGGCAGAGCCACGCAUCCUGGGUGAGGUGAUUUCCCCUGUGCAGGAAGUGAAGGCAGAGAGCAGCUGUCAAGGCUGAGUGGGCAAGAUGGUCUGCUUGCCAUCUAUCCUAGCCCAGCAUGCCCAUGCCAGAUGGGUUCAAGCUUAAGGUGCUGUUGCUGCCCUAGGCAUGCCCAGGAACGGAGGAGGGCAGGUACCUGUGGGAGGCUUGUAGCCACAGCUUGGAAGCGGCAGCACCGAAGCACACACAUUGAGAACAUCUCAAUGUCCACGUCCGACCGACGAUGGCUUUUGUCCACUCGUCUUCCAAAAGCUAAGUGUCGGGGCCAGUGGUUGGGAGAAGGGGGAAAGCCUUUACUAUCACAGGAGGCAAUCUGAUGUCAGCUUAGCGGAGAGGGCUGUAGUGGGACGGGCUCUGUUGGUGAGGAUGGAACAGGAAAGCCUUAUAAAUAUGAUUGCCUGGCAAAAGAUUUUGAGAAUAUAAAAACUAUAAGCGAGAUUGAAAUGAAAGCAAGUUUUGAGAUCCCUUAGUUACUGAACAACUGGAAAACAAUGGUGUGGCCAGCCGAAGGUAAUCCCCUCUUGAUGAAACAAUACCCUCUGCAAGCAGGCAGGUCCAAGGGUCAGAGCAGACCCUACAGCUUAGCAGAUAGGGCCCAAAGAGUAAGAUUUAGGGUUUAAAAUGUAACACAGUAUGGUAAUGUAGUGAUUCUUAUAGGUUGUAUGGAAAUGUUAUAGGAUAUGCAUGCUGUAGUAGAUUGGUUGAAGAGAAUAUGAAUAUUCAACACUGAAGAUGAUUUAUUGUAUUGUAACGGGAACUUUGCCCUUUUUUUUUUUUCUCUUCUCUUCCACUGCUCUUCCUCUUCUCUUUUCGCGCUCACCUCUGCACUUCUUCACCCCCUCCUUUCUACAUGCUCUCCACUCUUAAACCUUUGCCG